rnacentral:rRNA from 1 species
AGACCCGAAACCCGGUGAUCUAGCCAUGGGCAGGUUGAAGGUUGGGUAACACUAACUGGAGGACCGAACCGACUAAUGUUGAAAAAUUAGCGGAUGACCUGUGGCUGGGGGUGAAAGGCCAAUCAAACCGGGAGAUAGCUGGUUCUCCCCGAAAGCUAUUUAGGUAGCGCCUCGUGAAUUCAUCUCCGGGGGUAGAGCACUGUUUCGGCUAGGGGGCCAUCCCGGCUUACCAACCCGAUGCAAACUGCGAAUACCGGAGAAUGUUAUCACGGGAGACACACGGCGGGUGCUAACGUCCGUCGUGAAGAGGGAAACAACCCAGACCGCCAGCUAAGGUCCCAAAGUCAUGGUUAAGUGGGAAACGAUGUGGGAAGGCCCAGACAGCCAGGAUGUUGGCUUAGAAGCAGCCAUCAUUUAAAGAAAGCGUAAUAGCUCACUGGUCGAGUCGGCCUGCGCGGAAGAUGUAACGGGGCUAAACCAUGCACCGAAGCUGCGGCAGCGAACGUAUCACCCAAGACAACUUUACGGAGUUGACGAUUGACGGAGCGAAGCGACGUCAAAGCGUUCAUUAAAGUCGAGUUGGCUUAGGGAUACGUUCGUUGGGUAGGGGAGCGUUCUGUAAGCCUGUGAAGGUGUGUCGUGAGGCAUGCUGGAGGUAUCAGAAGUGCGAAUGCUGACAUAAGUAACGAUAAAGCGGGUGAAAAGCCCGCUCGCCGGAAGACCAAGGGUUCCUG